GCGUCAGCCAUCAAUGACUUUCACAAUCAGCGUGCACGGCUCUGUGGAAAUGGCUAUUGCACCGGCGUUUGCAUGCAUGUGUCGUUUGCUUUGUCUUUGGUUAGAGCUGCGGCCCAAGAGCAGCGGAGGUCAACCUGGUGUCAGGGAUCAGGCUCGCGUCAGAGGUCGUGGUCGUGCGUGGAGGUUUUGGGAAAGGUCAAGCCUCUCCUGGUCAACCUUCACUCACGGUGAAGUGCUCCCACGGUAACGUCAAUCAUUUCUACGAAUUCCAAUGAAUUACAUCUCAAUUAAGGAUGGUCAAAUUUCCUGCAUUUUGUAAUUCAUGCGCUGGAUGCUUCUCUGUUGCACAUUUGUGGAGCAACACUGCCCUCUGUAGUCUUCCAGCAGUACUGGGCUGUGUGCAUUACUUCACACAGAAUAGCGAAAUGUAGCCAAGUACUUUGCAUACUUUUGUCCCUCUGGGUUUCCCCCCCUGGAUUUCCUUCCACCCUGUAUGCACUGACCACUGUGAGUUGUCCUGGAUGAGGGCAUCCGCUAAAUCCAUGGUACUCAACCCACUCCUCUGGGACCCCCAGCCCUUGAUUAGUGAAUCUGCUGUGCUGGUUCAGGGCUACAGCUAAGCCAUGGAAUAUCUGGGGGUCCCCAAGGAGCGGGUUGAGAAGCAUUGUGCUAAAUUACGUCACUGACGUCUCCCUUCGGCCGGCUGCAGCUCUCAACUCCCCGGCCUCCGAGACUCGGCAAAAGACGUGGCAUCUAAACGGAUGUCUGAACGUUCCUGCUCUGGAGCCAGAUCACCACAUCUCCCCCUGGAGACUGCAGUGCAUUUCAAGAAAAACAACAGUCCUGUGACCAGAGCUCCAGCGCUAGCACCCGCAGGGGGCAGUGUGCUGUGGCUGUCUCUACCUGAGGAGGUGUGGCUGUCCGUCCUGUCAUUUCUGACGCACAGAGAUCUGUCCACCGUGGCCCAGGUGUGCCCGCUGCUGCUUCGACUGGCCAAUGAUCACACCCUCUGGCAAGUUGUUCGAGUAGAAAACAGCUUACUGCUGACUGACCAAUGGCUGAAAAGUGUGGGCGGGCAUAACCCUCAAAGCCUCACUAUCUACAGGUGCAGCGGACCGUCAAUCACCACUGCCGGUCUCAAAGACUUUUUCAAACUAAGUCACGCCUCACUGAAGGUAGAUCCAUCCUGUCAUGUACUCAGUGCAUCUACUACAGGACUGUACAGCAUCUUGGGCUCCAGAUUCAGAUCCGAGGGGGGAUAUCCAGAGAUCUGUGACUGUGCCUGGGGUGUACAUUGGUAUCAUAGUUCCUUCUGGGUCACACGCAAACCCUAAUACAUGCUCAGGGUAUUAAAACCCACCUCAGAUUCAACUAUUGUCACGUCCGCAUGGAUUACACAUGUUCAUUGGUUGUCAUUGUUACCGCGGUGGUGUUGUGGUCGUGAGUGAUGUGCUCAUUGGUUACAGGAGCUGAACGUAAUAAGCUGCAGCGGUCCCGGUUUCCGGGGUGACCUCAUGUUGACCCUGAGUGGCCAACACUGCAAUCACAUGACCUCUGUGGACGUCAGCUGGAGCGGAGCUACUGACCUAGGCAUCAGAGCGCUGACUGAAAACUGCAUUGGGUGGGCAAUAGUUUCCGAUAACGCGCGUGCGCACGCACAUGCACGCACGCACAUGCACGCACGCACACAUACUGUACAUUUUCGAAAAAGAUGAUUUCGUACUACAUCAGGGU
ensembl:lncRNA